GCGCAGGUGGCGGAAUUGGUAGACGCGCACGUUUGAGGGGCGUGUGGGGUAUCCCAUGAGGGUUCAAGUCCCUCCCCGCGCA
rnacentral:tRNA from 1 species